GGUUAGAAAUUUUCAAUUACAAGCCACUUUUCCUGUAAAAGCACCUGGAAUUUUCAUUUAUGCCGAUAGAUCCUUGCAAGAGGUUUGCAUGUGAUAUUCAGAAAUGUCUUCAGGGGUCCAAAAUGCCUUUAUUCAAGGUUCAGUUCACUACUUGAAGAUCACGAAUAAUUAAGAAAUAUUGCCACACACAUUUCCAGUACAAACGGAAUCAUGCAAUCCUGUAAUGUCAGAUUUGCAAUUAUGAGAAAACGAUUAUCAAGAAGCUCGUUGUGAGGCAGUAUUUGAAUCUAUGCGUCGGUGUUGCCUGAUCCACAAGCCAACAGGUCGCUCACUCGUCUGCUCAGGAUACAACCUCGAGCCCUGGACUCCCAACC